AGAUAUGAUCCAGAGUACCACGGGACACGUGAAACCCUGUGGGAAGCAGGAGGGACCACCCUCCAAGGCUAAAUACUACCUAGUGACCGAUAGCGUAGAGUACCGUGAGGGAAAGGUGAAAAGAACCCCGGGAGGGGAGUGAAAUAGAACCUGAAACCCUGCACUUACAAGCUGUGGAAGCACAUUUCUUGUGUGACCGCGUACUUUUUGUAGAACGGGCCAACG
rnacentral:rRNA from 1 species